rnacentral:ribozyme from 1 species
GAAGAAAAAAAGGGGAAAGGAGAAGAGAACUAAAUACCAAGUCGUUUCUUCUCCUUUUUUUAUUUUUAUUUUUAUUUUAUUGUUCUUUCACGAUAUUAUAUCUCAUUUUUCACGUGAAUCUGAUUGCCACCAUUAGCAGUGGAAAGGGUAGAAAAAGGGGGCGGCUUAAUAUGCAA